UCUCCGUAGGUGAACCUGCGGAGGGAUCAUUACAGAGUUCUCGCCCUCACGGGUAGAUCUCCCACCCACUGUUAUCGUUACUGUCGUUUCUUUGGCGGGCCGCCGGGUCCCCGGCCGCCGGCGCCUAGCUGCCGGCGCGCGCCCGCCAGAGGCCUUCAAACUCUGAAUGUUAGUGUAGUCUGAGUACUAUAUAAUAGUUAAAACUUUCAACAACGGAUCUCUUGGUUCUG
rnacentral:misc_RNA from 1 species